rnacentral:rRNA from 1 species
AUAUAUGAGAAUUGUAUCCGCCGUAAAUCUAAGGUUUCCUACGCGAUGGUCGUCAUCGUAGGGUUAGUCGGGUCCUAAGCCGAGUCCGAAAGGGGUAGGUGAUGGCAAAUUGGUUAAUAUUCCAAUACCGACUAUGGAGCGUGAUGGGGGGACGCAUAGGGUUAAGCGAGCUAGCUGAUGGAAGUGCUAGUCUAAGGGCGUAGAUUGGAGGGAAGGCAAAUCCACCUCUGUAUUUGAAACCCAAACAGGCUCUUUGAGUCCUUUUAGGACAAAGGGAGAAUCGCUGAUACCGUCGUGCCAAGAAAAGCCUCUAAGUAUAUCCAUAGUCGUCCGUACCGCAAACCGACACAGGUAGAUGAGAUGAGUAUUCUAAGGCGCGUGAAAGAACUCUGGUUAAGGAACUCUGCAAACUAGCACCGUAAGUUCGCGAUAAGGUGUGCCGCAGCAAUGCGGUCUCAGCAAAGAGUCCCUCCCGACUGUUUACCAAAAACACAGCACUUUGCCAACUCGUAAGAGGAAGUAUAAGGUGUGACGCCUGCCCGGUGCUCGAAGGUUAAGAGGAUGCGUCAGUCGCAAGAUGAAGCGUUGAAUUGAAGCCCGAGUAAACGGCGGCCGUAACUAUAACGGUCCUAAGGU